GAUCCUGGCUCAAGAUGAACGCUGGCGGCGUGCCUAACACAUGCAAGUCGAGCGAGAAACUCAUGACCAAUACUCGGUUGCGUGAUUGAGCGGAAAGCGGCGGACGGGUGAGUAACGCGUAGGCAACCUGCCCCUUGCAGAGGGAUAGCCUCGGGAAACCGGGAUUAAAACCUCAUAAUGCGUAACGGAGACAUCUCCGAUACGCCAAAGAUUUAUCGGCAAGGGAUGGGCCUGCGUCUGAUUAGUUAGUUGGUGGGGUAACGGCCUACCAAGGCAGCGAUCAGUAGCCGACCUGAGAGGGUGAUCGGCCACAUUGGAACUGAGACACGGUCCAAACUCCUACGGGAGGCAGCAGUGGGGAAUAUUGGGCAAUGGACGCAAGUCUGACCCAGCAACGCCGCGUGAAGGAAGAAGGCUUUCGGGUUGUAAACUUCUUUUAACAGGGAAGAGAAGAAGACGGUACCUGUUGAAUAAGCCACGGCUAACUACGUGCCAGCCGCCGC
rnacentral:rRNA from 1 species